rnacentral:rRNA from 1 species
ACGAACGCUGGCGGCGUGCUUAACACAUGCAAGUCGAACGGUGAAGCGCCUUCCUUUUUGGUGGGUGUGGAUGAGUGGCGAACGGGUGAGUAACACGUGAGUAACCUGCCCCCUUCUUCUGGAUAACCGCAUGAAAGUGUGGCUAAUACGGGAUAUUCUGGGUCUGUCGCAUGAUGGGUCUGGGAAAGAUAUUGUUUCGGUGGGGGAUGGGCUCGCGGCCUAUCAGUUUGUUGGUGGGGUGAUGGCCUACCAAGGCGGUGACGGGUAGCCGGCCUGAGAGGGUGGACGGUCACACUGGGACUGAGACACGGCCCAGACUCCUACGGGAGGCAGCAGUGGGGAAUAUUGCACAAUGGGCGCAAGCCUGAUGCAGCGACGCCGCGUGAGGGAUGGAGGCCUUCGGGUUGUGAACCUCUUUCGCCAGUGAAGCAGGCCUGCCUCGUUUGUGGGUGGGUUGACGGUAGCUGGAGAAGAAGCGCCGGCUAACUACGUG